CAAAUUGUGACCUACGUACAUUCUCAAGCUUGUAAGUGAUAGGGAUUUUGUAAAUAUAUGAACAUCGGUAUCUACUACUGAGGUAACAAAAGUUUCAAGUCUCAAAGUGAAGUGCCUUUUUCUAGGUUACAACUUUCCAUUUAGCUUGUUUGAGAAUUCUAUGGAGAUAUCUAUCUAUUGAAGUUCUAAGAAGUUAUUG